rnacentral:rRNA from 1 species
UACGUAGGCAGCGAGCGUUGUUCGGAGUUACUGGGCGUAAAGGGUGUGUAGGCGGUUGUUUAAGUUUGGUGUGAAAUCUCCCGGCUCAACUGGGAGGGUGCGCCGAAUACUGAAUGACUUGGAGUGCGGGAGAGGUGAGUGGAAUUCCUGGUGUAGCGGUGAAAUGCGUAGAUAUCAGGAGGAACACCGGUGGUGUAGACGGCUCACUGGACCGUAACUGACGCUGAUGCACGAAAGUGUGGGGAUCAAACAGG